CCUACGGGGGGCAGCAGUGAGGAAUAUUGGUCAAUGGACGAGAGUCUGAACCAGCCAAGUAGCGUGAAGGAUGACUGCCCUAUGGGUUGUAAACUUCUUUUAUAUGGGAAUAAAAUGUUCCACGUGUGGGAUUUUGUAUGUACCAUAUGAAUAAGGAUCGGCUAACUCCGUGCCAGCAGCCGCGGUAAUACGGAGGAUCCGAGCGUUAUCCGGAUUUAUUGGGUUUAAAGGGAGCGUAGGUGGAUUGUUAAGUCAGUUGUGAAAGUAUGCGGCUCAACCGUAAAAUUGCAGUUGAAACUGGCAGUCUUGAGUACAGUAGAGGUGGGCGGAAUUCGUGGUGUAGCGGUGAAAUGCUUAGAUAUCACGAAGAACUCCGAUUGCGAAGGCAGUUCACUGGACUGCAACUGACACUGAGGCUCGAAAGUGUGGGUAUCAAACAGGAUUAGAUACCCGGGUAGUC
rnacentral:rRNA from 1 species